rnacentral:rRNA from 1 species
AUUGAACGCUGGCGGCAGGCCUAACACAUGCAAGUCGAACGAGUGGCGGACGGGUGAGUAAUGUAUGGGAAACUGCCUGAUGGAGGGGGAUAACUACUGGAAACGGUAGCUAAUACCGCAUACCAUCGGAUGUGCCCAGAGGGGAUUAGCUAGUAGGUGGGGUAAAGGCUCACCUAGGCGACGAUCCCUAGCUGGUCUGAGAGGAUGCCCAGACACACGGGAAAUUAUACACGGUCCAGACUCCGACGUGAGGCACGAGUGGGGAAUAUUGUACAAGGUGCGCAAGCCUGAUGCAGCCAGGACGCGUGUAUGAAGAAGGCCUUGUGGUUGUAAAGUACUUUCAGCGGGGAGGCGUUACCCGCAGAAUCAGCACCGGAUAACUCCGUGCCAGCAGCCGCGUUAAUUC